CCUUCGGGAGAAAGAUUUAUCGGAGAUGGAUGAGCCCGCGUUGGAUUAGCUAGUUGGUGGGGUAAUGGCCUACCAAGGCGACGAUCCAUAGCUGGUCUGAGAGGAUGAUCAGCCACACUGGGACUGAGACACGGCCCAGACUCCUACGGGAGGCAGCAGUGGGGAAUAUUGGACAAUGGGCGAAAGCCUGAUCCAGCCAUGCCGCGUGAGUGAUGAAGGCCCUAGGGUUUGUAAAGCUCUUUCAACGGCUGAAGAUAAUGGACGGUAACCUGUAGAAGAAGCCCCGGCGUAACUUCUGUGCCAGGCAGCCGCGUGUAAUACCGAAGGGUGUGCUAGCGUUGUUCGGCAAUUACCUGCGGCGUAAAGGCGCACGUUAGGGGCGGAUACCUUAAGUUCAGGGGGUGGAAAUCCCCGG
rnacentral:rRNA from 1 species